AAUGGUCAAACAUCUGUACAAACAUCAUAUGUCAUCCCAGGAGGUCAUAGGUUGACGUCGGGAUUUCACAUAUGCCGGUUUUCACAUCUGGAUAUCAUUAACAGGUCACAGGGUCACAUCUGGAUAGGUCAUGGGGAGAGACACAGCAAAAAAACCCUGUCUUGGAACGCAACCGGACACCAGAUGUGGAAAUCCCCCCGGAUGUCAGAACGGACCAUAAAAUCUUCAAAAACAUUCCUCAGCAGGUCAUUCGUCUCCUGUCAGCGCUCUGAAAUGGUCAAACAUCUGUACAAACAUCAUAUGUCAUCCCAGGAGGUCAUAGGUUGACGUCGGGAUUUCACAUAUGCCGGUUUUCACAUCUGGAUAUCAUUAAGUUUUCACAUCUGGAUAUCAUUAACAGGUCACAGGGUCACAUCUGGAUAGGUCAUGGGGUCAACACAACGUGGGUGGGCUGCGGGGGGGGGGGGGGUCACAAAGGUCAAAGCCAUCAAACAUUUUUGACAUAAGGUAAAUGGUAGAGACUACUGUUAGUGCUACAAAGCAAAUGAAGAGAAUGAAGCCAACAUAUGCUGAAAAUCUUUCUCUAAGACAAAACUUGUUUAUGCAAUGUUAAGAGUAAAGCUUGCCCACAUGAAAGAUGUUUCUAGCAUCUGAAAGAAAAUCAUAUUUGCAAUGCAGAAUGACAAUACUUCAUGUCUAAGAAUUUUUAUUCUCAACUAGUAAUGCUAUCACCUUAUAUGUACAGGAAGAUUACUUUAGUGUUUCUAUGAACAGUAAUACUAUGUUAGUGCAACAAAGCAAAUGAAGACAUUGCAAGCCAACAUACGCUGAAAAGCCUCUUACUCUGUAAAACAAUGCUGGUGUCACGAUCUCUAGCUGGAGUGCCUGUGAGCUUCAGUAGAGGGCACUCCACACAGGACUCAUUCAGAACUCCAUUUCCCAUCCUGCCUCACUCCUGGGACUGAUUGCACACACACACCUGCACCUAAUUCCACACACACACCUGCAGCUAAUACACACACACCCAUAUAAGCAGCACACUCACACCAUCACACUGCGAAGUCUUGUUUAGCCCCGUCUAACAUUUCCGAGCGGUUUCCCUUUGUUUGUUCUUCCGUGUCUGACCUUUGGAUUGUGUAUUCUGACUCUGAUUCUCUGCUGCCUGCCCCGAUCUCUGCUUGUUUCUGGUUUCGAUUCUGGUUACCCCUGACAUACCUGACGCCAUUCCUGAUUUCCACCUGUCUGACCACUCUGUUAAUAAAUACUGCAAUUGGAUCCGAACGUCUCUGACUCUCCAUUGUAACAGAAGACUUCGCCAAACCAGGAUCCAGCAGUCC
rnacentral:lncRNA from 1 species